GGGGCCGUAGCUCAACUGGGAGAGCGCCUGGUUUGCAACCGGGAGGUUGGGGGUUCGAGCCCGCUCGGCUCCA
rnacentral:tRNA from 1 species